AUUAAUAUGCUGCAGUAUAAUUUCUUCCAUUCCCUUGAGUUCUUUAGGACCAGUCUCACAUGCCACAAAACAUAAUCAUCAACUCAGUAUAAGAGUACCAGAGCAUCUAAGAUGUGAAGCAUUGAACCAAAGGAACUGAUGUCCACUGAGCUUUGCCUUUACCCCAUGGAAGACCAUCACACAUCUGUGACUUAGUAAAGUCCUCCUGAUCUACAAGUUGGCCUUCAAGUGGCAUCUUCUUAGCAGGAUCACAAAGCAUUCAACACAUGCUCUGAAGAAUUGGCCUUGUCUACGAAAAGAGCAGGGUAUGUUUGAUCAACCAAAGUGAAUUGGAAAGGAAAUGGCACAUUUCCUUGGACUGGCCUUCAAAAAAAAAAGGUAAAAUGUUAACCUGCUGGGAGUAUGUAAGACUGGAAAGUCCUGUAAAUGACUUAGUGCAAAA
rnacentral:lncRNA from 1 species